UUUGAGGAAGCUAUGGAG
rnacentral:snRNA from 1 species